CCAGAUUUGGAGCAGAGGGAAGCGGCCAGGCCGCCCUGAGGCAGUCGUGGGCAAGCCGCUGAGGAACUUGAACGGAGCAGACACAAGCCCUGGAGGACGACAAGAUGAUGGGCAUCAGCAGUCAAGGGGAAGAGGUGGAGCAGAUGGAGGAUGGCAUGCUGGUGAUGGACACUAUGGACAGGCAGCUGCAGAGACAGCUCAACAACUCAAGGUAUCACCGUGUUUGGCUACUGCAUGGCAGUGCCCUUUCUGGGGAAUCUUUGCUUUCCAUCGUCUGCACCUGGAUCUGCUACACAAUGUGCUGUGGUCACCCAUGAACUUCAAGUGGACCCCCACUGAAGGAACCUGGCGGAAACCUGAUAAAAACCAACAUUCCUCAGUCUUCCAUCUGGGGCCUUAGCGUGGCUGAGCUGAGACCAAGAUACAUCCUCCUCCUCCUCUCCCCACACCUCAUCUUCUCCUCCACCAGCCCGAGUCUGCACGAAUCUGUCCAGACACACAUGGGACUUCUGUGAUGAUGAGAGUAAUAGGUGCUUUUUGGAAAACUUGUUAAAAGUUUAAAAGAAAAUUGAAUCAGCAUCAGUUCUACCAGUCAUAGCCAGCUUUUUGUGUGUUUCCAUUCAGUCAUUCUCCACGGAGAUAGCUGUACUGAUGUAGAAAAGCGAGAAAAGGAGCUUCGAUGGAGAGGGCCUGACUUGGAGUUCUCCCUUUCCCAGUGUUGCCACAGGUGGCAGGAAAAUCAGCUGUGGUCUCUGCUCUCCCGAUAACUGUUACCCCAGGCGGGACUGUUCAUCGAGAAUGUUAACUUGUCUAGACCCCUCGGAAGAAGCUCAGAAGAGAAAUGGAUUGAACAAUAAGAUGCAACUGUUCUUGUCCAUGGAUGCUGUCUGAAUCAUGAAAUGUGACUCCCCUACGUUGCAAGAGAGGCUGGAAAGGAGGACUAGAUGGAUUCUACUGAAGACAAGCAAAGCAGAAUGGGGCUCGAAUGUCAGGAGUUUGGCUGACUUGUGAGAGCAGAAUGCCUAAUGAAGAGAAGAUAUUUCUGUUACAACAACUUGGCCUCUGUUUUCUAUGAAUCCGGAAAGAAAAUAUCUAUGGAUUUUGGAAGACAUCAAAGGUAGAGACAUCUCCUCCACCUGCUCCUGGUGCCACCUACCUGUUCUUGAAAUCACCCAAACCACUGCUCACGAUGGCCAUCAAGGCUCGGAGAACCUUGAAUGGAUUCAGGGAAGAACCGCUGGGCGUGAGGGAGGAAGUCAGGCAGGAGUGUGUAGCGUGUUAGUCUGUGACGGCUGCUGUAACAAAGCCCCACAGCCCAGGCAGCUUAAACAACAUGAAUUUAUUUCCUCACAUUCGGGAGGCUAGAAGCCCAACAUUACGGUGUCAGCAUGGUUGGUUCCUUCUAAGGCUUCUGUCCUGGGCGUGCAGACAGCUGCCCUCUCCCUGUGUUCACGUGGUCUUCCCUUGUGU